CACUUCUUAUUUUCUUUUCUUUCUUUUCUGUUCUUUUCUCUCAUACACUCCUCUCUAUCACUUGCUCAUCCUCUCCCACCGCUACCUCCAUGCCACCAUCUUCACCAUCAUUUUUCCGGCAAUGUCACCAGAAAAUUCUUAGGAACCUCUAAGCAUCUUCAUCUUUUAUUUGAGGUUUGCUUGAUAUUGUUGACAUUCUAGCUAAUCUCCUUUAGAGCUUGGAGAAUUAGGCUUUUUGCGGGUUGCAAGUCUUUGUGACAAUGGAAUCAAAUUCAGGUCAGUGCUCUUUCACUUUGGAAUCUUGGAUGACGCGUUCUUCCCUGCUACCCAUAGGGGGAAGAGGUUUAUUGAUUGUGUGUGGGUGAGACUGCUACCUAUGGGGCCAAGAGACCACAUGCAAGAGAAGUCCUAUUUGACGCACUCUCUCUGCUGCCCAUGGGGGGAGAGAAAAACCUUGAGAGUAUGGGUGAGGCUGUUGUCCAUGGGACCAAGAGUCUGCAUACCAGAGAGGACAAUAUCAUGCCAGUUGUGAAUGGGUGGAUCCCCUGACCAAUCUAUGUGAUAGUGUGGUAUAUUUGUGAUAAUUUACCUUAUGUUAGAUAUUAUGGCUUUGGAAAUUAUAUUGUUGAUGCUCACAAAUUAUGAUAUAUAGUUUUAUGGUAUUAUUUUGAGAAACUUUGUGUUUCAUCAUUUAAUCAUUCUUGUUACAUUAUUAUUACAAAUGAUAUUGCAGUAUUAAGUUAGCAAUUUCCCAAACUAAAACAUGUUUUGUAAACUGUUCAUUAUCAUAAAACUUGCAUUUCCCCCACCCCCAUUAAUUAUGCUACUUACUGGGCGUUAGCUCAUCCCACCCUCUAACAGUUUUUCAGAUUUCUUAGCUAUACCUUGGGUAUGGAGCUUACUUCCCUGGUGAUGAUUAGAGUGCUAUCUUAAAUUUGGAGACUCUUGUUGUAAAUGGUUGGUGACUCGAUCUUGUUAUGUUCAACGAGACCUUAAUUAAUUCUAUUAGAGGUUGGUUACUUGAGGUUUGUUAACCUUAGGCAUGGUAGGCAUAGACUUGAUACUAAGAUUCCUUAUUCUUGAUAAGAUUGUGACUUUGUAUAAUCCAAGAGCUUUGAAAUAUAUAUUCAUGUAUUAUGUGGAGGCACAUAAUUUUUAGUUAUUGUU